rnacentral:lncRNA from 1 species
UGCCGUCGGAGCUUAAAAUACAAUAUUGUUAUCUCCAUUCUAAUGAAACUGACAGAAAAUAACGUUAAAACAUGUAUUUAAAAUCUGUCAUAUGCCGUCUGCGCUUGCGCGUACGUCCCAUAGCAUCAAUUGUCAAUUGAUGCCAUGUAAGAAAAUGACGUUAUCCAAUCAAAAUGAACGUUACAAACGUUGUUGCAUUAGAAUAUAAAUUAAAUAUUCUCAUGCAUUUCAAAGCAUGUCUGUUCCGGCCGUGAAGUAAAUAUUUAUGUUUUAUCAUAUAACCUCCUUGCAUAUAUUUAGUGGUCUUCAAAACUGAGAUUUAUGUAUCUCUUAUUCGCUGGACGUUUUAUAUAGACUGAUUUUUAUCACAUUUAUUUUCGUGACAUAACAGCUAGACACUACCAAACCCC